UAAUUGACAGGUGAUGAAUCCAUACAACA
rnacentral:piRNA from 1 species